GAUGAACGCUGGCGGCGUGCCUAAUACAUGCAAGUCGAGCGAACAGACGAGGAGCUUGCUCCUCUGACGUUAGCGGCGGACGGGUGAGUAACACGUGGAUAACCUACCUAUAAGACUGGGAUAACUUCGGGAAACCGGAGCUAAUACCGGAUAAUAUAUUGAACCGCAUGGUUCAAUAGUUAAAUACGGUUUUGCUUUCACUUAUAGAUGGAUCCGCGCCGCAUUAGCUAGUUGGUAAGGUAACGGCUUACCAAGGCAACGAGGCGUAGCCGACCUGAGAGGGUGAUCGGCCACACUGGAACUGAGACACGGUCCAGACUCCUACGGGAGGCAGCAGUAGGGAAUCUUCCGCAAUGGGCGAAAGCCUGACGGAGCAACGCCGCGUGAGUGAUGAAGGUCUUCGGAUCGUAAAACUCUGUUAUUAGGGAAGAACAAAUGUGUAAGUAACUAUGCACGUCUUGACGGUACCUAAUCAGAAAGCCACGGCUAACUACGUG
rnacentral:rRNA from 1 species